AACGGAUAGUCCAUAAGACAUCCCUUCUUGAAUAUCCAUUAAGCUAAUGGACAUGGUUAAUUACACAGGCUUAUCAGCACCACAAUCUUCCUAUCCUACAGGUUUACAGUUAAGAGAACAGGUCAUGAGACCUUAAUGCUUAAGCACAAACUGUAAUUUCUCCAACAGCACAUCAAAUCUCCAGGUUUCCACAACUGCAGGACGCAAGUCAGUCACCUACUGCAAUAACUGACCUUUCAAGCGUACAUCACUUGCAGAUCAUAAAUUACGCUAUAAGUUAAUAGUAGAGACAAAGAGGACCAUAAUCAAGCAUCAUUUAUUCUGACUUCGAUGGGGUUGCAGCAUCAGUUUCCAUUCUGUCCAAGAGAAAUUUCCAUUUGGCCAGUGCUGGUGUUUGUGUUGGUGUUGGUGUUGGAGAUCAAUGAGGGAUUAGUAGGAGUUACUCCAAUUGUAGUAUUCUUCCCGCAACCAUCAUGCGCUUGAAAUGUCACAUUUCCUUGCUCACUCACUCCUCUACCGGGAAAGUUUGAGGUACCCAUGCUACAU
rnacentral:misc_RNA from 1 species